AGAACAAAAGGCAACAUUCUCCAAACAUUCAUAAAUGGAAACAUACUUAUUUACUCACUUUUUGAAAACAAAUCAACAAAUCGGUUCUCUUUGUGGUGUUCAAGUGCCGGUCGUCGGUUGUCGAUUGCCGAUCGCCCGCCCAUUGCCGGCAAAGUCGAAAGUCGAUUCGGAAACCGAUCCGAUCCGUAGACCCAUCGAGAGACCCGCAAAAGACCCUUUCCUCCGAAUUCUUUACGCGUGCGUUCCCUUUUGUCGGCAUUUUGACACAUCCCGUCCGCAGUCACGAUUGAUUGUCGCAACAAUUGACGUGAUUUCUAGUUUUCCAAUUGGUUUCUCGAGCCUGGAGUGCCAUCCGCUCCAGAAUUAUCGGUGCCAAGCCCUGACACUACCCGGCACGUGAUAACUCCAAGAUCGGGCGCGGGGGUUAUAGGAAUCAGGAACUAGGAAUCAGGGACUAUAUACCCACGGCAAUUAUAAGUAGAUGCUUUGUAUGGACAGCUGUCUGUCCGGCGGUGGCAUGCGUCACGACUGACACUGCCACAUGCACUGCGACGGCAUGACCGAUCUAAAUGGGGAAUCGGGGGUAUUUGGAAUGAUUAGCACGUCCGGAAGUGUCAGCACUUGGCUCUAUAAAGGUCUUUAAAUGGAAAUAAAUGGCUCUCGACAAGAAAAGUUUCCUCAACCAGCUCGGUCGGAUGUUGCCAAGUUCAGUCCCUCCAGUGGGAUUGACAAACAAGCUUUUAAGUACGUACCUGUAGAUAUUCCACUAAAGCAAAACGAGUUCAAGGAUAUACAAAGUUUUGCAAAUUAAGAAAAGUUCCUACCGAAGAUAAUUGCCAAAACUUUGCCGAGCAUAGCUCUGUCUGUAACAUUAUUUUAAUUUAUCAGCCAUAAGAAUUAAUUUAUUUGACAGCUUCUUUAGCGUAUUUAACACUACCAUUUGCGCCAAUAAAACUAUAAAUAGACAAUUAUACGGAUGGGCCACAGACCUAGGAAAUGGCAAUGGAGCCGAGGGAAUCGCCGCCGCCCUUUGCGAAAAGUGAGAGAUUCAUGUUUGCCACCCAAAGUGAACAGCAUUUGCGAAUUUCGAAAUUAAAUUCCGUGUCAUUCCGUGUAAAUCAUUUGCAAAAUUGCCUCGAUGUUGCUGCAUCUAGUGUGUGGAGGCCGUGGCAAUUUAUCAAAAAUAAAUCAUUUUGACGAGUAGCCGAGCCCGGGCUAACUUAAGUUAAGGCCAACUGCAAUGAGGCAUCUCCUCCGCCCCGGAGUACAUGAGUUCCGUACGCAAAUACCUGUCGCCAGGGCUGGCAGGGUCGUAAUAAAUUGCAGAUUAGUUUGCAAAUCGCAGAGUGCGUCAUUGAAA